GUGGGGAAUAUUGGGCAAUGGGCGCAAGCCUGACCCAGCAACGCCGCGUGAGGGAAGAAGGCUUUCGGGUUGUAAACCUCUGUCCUUGGUGACGAAACAAAUGACGGUAGCCAAGGAGGAAGCCCCGGCUAACUACGUGCCAGCAGCCGCGGUAAUACGUAGGGGGCGAGCGUUGUCCGGAAUUACUGGGCGUAAAGGGUGCGUAGGCGGCCUUUUAAGUUGGAUGUGAAAUACCCGGGCUUAACUUGGGGGGUGCAUCUAAUACUGGAGGGCUAGAGUGCAGGAGAGGGAAGCGGAAUUCCUAGUGUAGCGGUGAAAUGCGUAGAUAUUAGGAGGAACACCAGUGGCGAAGGCGGCUUUCUGGACUGUAACUGACACUGAGGCACGAAAGCGUGGGGAGCAAACAGGAUUAGAUACCCUAGUAGUCC
rnacentral:rRNA from 1 species